GACGAACGCUGGCGGUGUGCUUAACACAUGCAAGUGGUGCGACGAACCAGAGCUUGCUCUGGGGCAAAGCCGCGAACGGGUGAGUAACACGUGGGUAAUCUACCCCGAUGACCGGGACAACCCGAGGAAACUCGGGCUAAUACCGGAUGUGGUACGGAGACAUAAGUCUCUUUACUAAAGGUAGCUUCGGCUUCCGCAUUGGGAGGGGCCCGCGGCCCAUUAGCUAGUUGGUGGGGUCAAGGCCUACCAAGGCAACGAUGGGUAGCUGGUCUGAGAGGAUGGUCAGCCGGAUCGGGACUGAGACACGGCCCGGACUCCUACGGGGGGCAGCAAUCAGGGAUAUUGCGCAAUGGGGGAAACCCUGACGCAGCGACGCCGCGUGCGGGACGAAGGCCUUCGGGUCGUAAACCGCUGUUGUGGGAGACGAGUGCCCGGUGAUGAGCCGGGAGAGACGGUAUCUCACAAGGAAGCCCCGGCUAACUACGUG
rnacentral:rRNA from 1 species